UCCCUGGUGGGCUAGUGGCUAAGACACUGCGUUUGCAGUCCAUGGGGCCCAGGUUUGAUCCCUGGUCAGGGAA
rfam:TPA: Bos taurus chromosome 5, whole genome shotgun sequence.